rnacentral:rRNA from 1 species
GAUGAACGCUGGCGGCGUGCCUAAUACAUGCAAGUCGAGCGAACAGACGCGGAGCUUGCUCCUCUGACGUUAGCGGAGGACGGGUGAGUAACACGUGGAUACCCUCCCUAUCAGACUGGGAUAACUUCGGGACACCGGCGCUAAUCCCGGAUGAUCUAUUGCACCGCAUGGUUCAAUAGUGAAAGACGGUUUUGCUGUCACUUCUAGCUGGUUCCGCGCCGCAUUAGCUAGUUGGUAAGGUAAUGGCUUACCACGGCAACGAUGCGUAGCCGACCUGCGAGGGUGAUAGGCCACAUGGGAACGUAGACACGGUCCAGACGCCUACGGUAGGCAGCAGAAGGGUAUCGGCCGCAACGGUCGAAAACCUUACGGAGCAACGCGGCGUGAGUGAUGAAGGUCUUCGGAUCGUAAAACUCUGUUAUGAGUGAAGAACAAAUGUGUAAGUAACCAUGCACGGCGUGACGGUACCGAAUCAGAAAGCCACGGCUAACUACGUG